AUAAUCCAUUUCUAUAAUUUAUUAUAAUUUUACUAUAAUUUAUUUCUAUAUUUCACAGAUCUCAGGCCUAGAUCUCGCUCCACAGGGCCCGGUCCCACUCCUGGUGGUAGUGCAAAGAAGCAAGAUCAUACGCCUAGAUCUCGCUCCACAGGGCCCGGUCCCACUCCUGGUGGUAGUGCAAAGAAGCAAGAUCAUACGCCUAGAUCUCGCUCCACUACCAGAGGGCCCGGUCCCACUCCUGGUGGUAGUGCAAAGAAGAAAG